UAGCACUCGGAGAGCCAGCCGGGGUAGCGGGGCGAAGAGAAGACCAACCUUGCAAAUGCAAAAUAAUGCAAAUUGCUAAGUCGAUCUUCUCUUGAGAGCAGCCACGCGCAUACCUGACAAAUGUAAAACAACACGCAUUAGUAACAAAUACUCGACAUGCAAAUUUUGAAUCCCAUGGCCGAAAUGACAAGUGCCCCCCACUGAUUCCUACCAACUGCCUACCUGCCUCAGUCCUAAGCUGUCUGCCUCGGUCCUAAGCUACCUGCAUUCCAUUCGUAACUUCCGCUUUCCUCCCCAUCACACAGACACUCCCAGCUGCCCAACCUGCCACCAGCCCGAACUGCCCACCCUUAAAACUGAA